rnacentral:rRNA from 1 species
CAGCAGCCGCGGUAAUACGUAGGGUGCAAGCGUUAAUCGGAAUUACUGGGCGUAAAGCGUGCGCAGGCGGUUAUUUAAGACAGAUGUGAAAUCCCCGGGCUCAACCUGGGAACUGCAUUUGUGACUGUAUAGCUAGAGUACGGCAGAGGGGGAUGGAAUUCCGCGUGUAGCAGUGAAAUGCGUAGAUAUGCGGAGGAACACCGAUGGCGAAGGCAAUCCCCUGGGCCUGUACUGACGCUCAUGCACGAAAGCGUGGGGAGCAAACAGGAUUAGAUACCCCCGUAGUCCCUGUCUCUUAUAC